GAGACCUUUUCGAGAUACUUUUUUGGCGCUUGUUAAUCUUCUGAGAAUGUGUAAAAGAGGUCCUAUGGACGUCAGCACUAGAUGCUCGGUAGACGUCGAAAAAAAGAUGCCUGCUGUCUGGUGUUACAAACAACCCCUUCACUGGACGAAAAUUGGAACUUUGCACAGUGGGUCCAAAGGGGAGGCCACAGAAUCCCCCUGGGAUGAAGAAACUGGCAGAGAACUUUUCUGGUCAACGAUGUCUCUGAAAAAUUUCAAAAUAAUCUCCAGAACCAUCCGAUUUGAUGACCGUGAUGAUAGAUCAGCUCAAUGGCAGAGAGACAAGCUAGCUGCCAUCAGGACAGUGUGGGACAAGUGGAUGGCUGGUGACCCGAGGUGGACAGAAAAACACAAUAUACAUGCACCCAGCGCAAGAAGUACAUUUGCAAUACACACAGUGAAACUCACGUGUGUUAUAGUCUGGCAUGAAAAUAGCCAUGUUCAAUGUGUUCAGACAGAUGUUGUGUAAACUAACCAGAGUAGGUUAAAUUUCUAAUGACGU